AAAUAUCUGACCCGAGAUCAAAAGUGUUCAUUUUUAACAAAGUUAAAAAGGACCAACACUGCUACUUAAAGCACUAUUUUGAACCUAUUAUCAAAAACAAACAUGAAAUCGCAUAAACGCGAGUUACAAGACAACCUAUGUUUGAUCAGAAAUCAGCACACUGUUUAAGGAAUCAAACGCAAUUCCUUAGGUCCACUAUAAAACCGAAAAAGCUGUGUUGAUCUCAUCUCAUCAAUAAAUAUGGUUGAGCUCAAGUUUCUUGGAAUGAAUUUUGGUUGUGUAGUGGCAGCCCUUAGCAAAGGUGAAUUCCCAGAAAAAGAUUGUUUGCUUCCUUUAAUAUCCAAGCUCCUCGGCUAUGCCAUUGUUGCUGCCUCUACCACUGUUAAACUUCCUCAGAUACUAAAAAUUUUGCGACACAAAAGUGUUAGAGGGCUUAGUGUUGUGAGCUUCGAGCUAGAAGUAAUUGGUUAUACCAUUGCUUUAGCAUAUUGUCUUCACAAAGGACUUCCUUUUUCAGCUUUCGGAGAGUAUGCUUUUCUUUUGAUUCAAGCUGUCAUUUUGGUUGCGAUCAUCUAUUAUUUUUCUCAGCCUUUGGGAACAAAGACAUGGAUUAGAGGAUUAUUAUAUUGUGCUAUAGCCCCAAUUGUUUUGGCAGGCCAAAUUGAUCCCAUUCUUUUUGAGGCCCUAUAUGCCUCUCAGCAUUCGAUUUUUCUUUUUGCAAGGAUUCCACAGAUCUGGAAGAAUUUUCAGAACAGAAGCACUGGGGAACUAAGCUUUUUAACCUUUUUUAUGAACUUUGGUGGUUCCAUGGGUAAGUUUACCAUUGAACUUCUUGUUGCACUUCCCAAAAUGAAGUUCUCGCCCACUUUUCCUUUCUAUGUUGCAGUUAGAGUGUUUACCAGCCUCCAAGAAAAAGCUCCAAUGAGUGCUUGAGAUUGGUCAAAGCUGGGACAUUAGAGUUCUAGCUCAACUUUGAAAAAGAUCAGGAGGCUUGAGUUUGAUGCAAAAAAAACUCGAUUAUGAGGGAAACGAGAAGGCAACAUAAUCAUACAAACAGAAUCAGCUUCUGAUAUUCAGUUUGCUGGCUUCAAAAAUGGAAAAGAAAACAGUAACUGGAGAAAAACCUACUUAUUAUAUAUAGAAAGAAGUACGGAAUUUGGAUCUAGACUACUUUUGUUCAACUUGGCUCAAUGCGCAUCUUUGUUGUCAUGGGAUCUGUGAUUGGUGUAGUGAUGAACGGUACCAUCUUGAGUCAAAUUCUCUUGUCCCAAGCACCAGCACCAAAGAAAGGGAAAAAGACAAAUUAGAAAUUUCAUCUUCGUAAGCUGUGAAUGGCUUUGAUACUUGGUUUCUUCUGCACUACAAAGCUCACUGCAAUGAUACUCGAGCAUUGCAGCUCGUCUGUCCACGUGAUUCCACAAAGUACCUAACAUAGAUUUGCCUAGUUCAAAAUUUAGAACUAACAUCAAUUCAUCAUAGGCUCACAAAUUUACUUCAACACUAGUCUUCUUGAAUUUUGAGUUGUCAAUUAUACUUUAGCCAUGAAUAGAUUAGUUCAUUUAUACAUGUAAUUCCCAUCAGUAUCUGUCAUAGAUUUGCUUAGUUCAAAAUAUGGAUUGAUCACAUAUCCAACUUCACUUCAAUUGAAUUGUUACAUGAAAUACAAUAACAACAGUUGAUUGAAAUUCAAGCUUCAAACACAUGCUUUAGAAUA